rnacentral:rRNA from 1 species
CAUGUGGUUCAAUUCGACGCAACGCGAAGAACCUUACCCAGGCUCGAACGGUGAUGGACAUCCGGCGAAAGCCGGCUCCCGCAAGGGCCGUCACCGAGGUGCUGCAUGGCUGUCGUCAGCUCGUGUCGUGAGAUGUUGGGUUAAGUCCCGCAACGAGCGCAACCCUUGUCCGCUGUUGCCAUCAGGUAAUGCUGGGCACUCUGCGGAGACUGCCGGUGAUAAACCGGAGGAAGGUGGGGAUGACGUCAAGUCAGCAUGGCCUUUAUGUCUGGGGCUACACACGUGCUACAAUGGCCGAUACAAACCGUCGCGAUACCGCAAGGUGGAGCUAAUCGGAGAAAGUCGGUCUCAGUUCGGAUUGCAGGCUGCAACUCGCCUGCAUGAAGUUGGAAUCGCUAGUAAUCGCGGAUCAGCACGCCGCGGUGAAUACGUUCCCGGGCCUUGUACACACCGCCCGUCACAUCACGAAAGCUGGCUGUACUAGAAGUCACCGCGCUAACCCGCAAGGGAGGCAAGUGCCUAAGGUAUGGUCAGUGAUUGGGGUGAAGUCGUAACAAGGUAACCAAGGG